rnacentral:rRNA from 1 species
AAACCAACCGGGAUUGCCUUAGUAACGGCGAGUGAAGCGGCAAAAGCUCAAAUUUGAAAUCUGGUACCUUCGGUGCCCGAGUUGUAAUUUGGAGAGGGCAACUUUGGGGCCGUUCCUUGUCUAUGUUCCUUGGAACAGGACGUCAUAGAGGGUGAGAAUCCCGUGUGGCGAGGAGUGCGGUUCUUUGUAAAGUGCCUUCGAAGAGUCGAGUUGUUUGGGAAUGCAGCUCUAAGUGGGUGGUGAAUUCCAUCUAAAGCUAAAUAUUGGCGAGAGACCGAUAGCGAACAAGUACAGUGAUGGAAAGAUGAAAAGAACUUUGAAAAGAGAGUGAAAAAGUACGUGAAAUUGUUGAAAGGGAAGGGCAUUUGAUCAGACAUGGUGUUUUGUGCCCUCUGCUCCUUGUGGGUAGGGGAAUCUCGCAUUUCACUGGGCCAGCAUCAGUUUUGGUGGCAGGAUAAAUCCAUAGGAAUGUAGCUUGCCUCGGUAAGUAUUAUAGCCUGUGGGAAUACUGCCAGCUGGGACUGAGGACUGCGACGUAAGUCAAGGAUGCUGGCAUAAUGGUUAUAUGCCGCCCGUCUUGAAACACGGACC